rnacentral:miRNA from 1 species
ACGCUCAGUUAACUUUGAAUUCCAGAUAAGCAAGGAAUAAUUUUUUUAGUAUAAGUAUGUCCCAUGUGAUAUCUGGGACAUACUUAUACUAAAAAAAUUAUUCCCUGUGUGUCUGGAAUUCAAAGUUAACUGGGUGUCCUGAA